GACGAACGCUGGCGGCGUGCUUAACACAUGCAAGUCGAACGGAAAGGCCCUGCUUUUGUGGGGUGCUCGAGUGGCGAACGGGUGAGUAACACGUGAGUAACCUGCCCUUGACUUUGGGAUAACUUCAGGAAACUGGGGCUAAUACCGGAUAGGAGCUCCUGCUGCAUGGUGGGGGUUGGAAAGUUUCGGCGGUUGGGGAUGGACUCGCGGCUUAUCAGCUUGUUGGUGGGGUAGUGGCUUACCAAGGCUUUGACGGGUAGCCGGCCUGAGAGGGUGACCGGCCACAUUGGGACUGAGAGACGGCCCAGACUCCUACGGGAGGCAGCAGGGGGGAAUAUUGCACAAUGGGCGGAAGCCUGAUGCAGCAACGCCGCGUGCGGGAUGACGGCCUUCGGGUUGUAAACCGCUGUCGCCUGUGACGAAGCGUGAGUGACGGUAAUGGGUAAAGAAGCACCGGCUAACUACGUG
rnacentral:rRNA from 1 species